rnacentral:lncRNA from 1 species
GAAAACAUUGUCUAAUACCUUAAGCAUUCUGCAACAUAUUUUUCUUAAAAAUAAAAUUUAUCUAACCUGGACUUAAGAAAUUGCAGAAAGUUUCAGAAACCUCUGUACUUAAGAAACUCUGGUAAGAACUUCUGAACUCCCUAGCAUUAUCUCAGGGGGAGCUUCUGUCUAUCUGAUCUAAUAUUAUUCAUGUUUCAUCUGCUAAUUAAGGUUGUUUUGUC